UCAAGAUAGUAAGGGCGCAUGGUGGAUGCCUUGGCACCAAGAGUCGAUGAAGGGCGUGAACGGCUGCGAUAAGCCACGGUUAGGCGCUGAAUAGCCUUUGACCCGUGGAUCUCCGAAUGGGGAAACCCAACGCUGGUAAUGCGGCGUUAUCCCCGGCUGAACACAUAGGCCGGGAGAAGACAAGCGGGGGAAGUGAAACAUCUCAGUACCCCGAGGAAAGAAAAUCAAAAGAGACUCCCUGAGUAGUGGCGAGCGAAAAGGGAUCAGCCCAAACCUGGCAGAUGUAAGCGGACACGCGUUGUCUGUCAGGGGUUGUAGGGCGCUUGUUCCGAGCCGUGUCCGGUUCGGCAGGAGUUACAAAACCAUGUGGUAGUCGAAGCGCGUGGAACCGCGCACCAUAGAGGGCAAACGUCCCGUAGACGAAACUGCAUGGUCUCCUGUCAGGCGUUCCUGAGUAAGUCCGCACCCGUGAAACGCGGACUGAACCUGGGGGGACCACCCUCCAAGGCUAAGUACUCCUUGGUGACCGAUAGCGGACUAGUACCGUGAGGGAAAGGUGAAAAGUACCCCGGAAGGGGAGUGAAAUAGUACCUGAAACCGCGUGCCUACAAGCGGUGGGAGCAGGCUUUGUCCUGUGACCGCGUGCUUUUUGCAUAACGAGCCGGCGAGUUACUCGUCUGCGGCAAGGUUAAGCGAUGAGCGGAGCCGUAGCGAAAGCGAGUCCUAAUAGGGCGACAUAGUCGUAGGCGGUAUACCCGAAACUGAGCGAGCUACCCAUGGGCAGGCUGAAGCGGGGGUAAGACCUCGUGGAGGGCCGAACCGACCUAGGUUGAAAACUGGGCGGAUGACCUGUGGGUCGGAGUGAAAGGCUAAUCAAGCUCAGUGAUAUCUGGUUCUCUCCGAAAUAUAUUUAGGUAUAGCCUCGGAUAAAUUCCGUGGCGGCCGUAGAGCACUGUUUGGACUAGGGGCCCUACCAGGUUACCGACUUCAGGCAAACUCCGAAGACCAAUUACGUUUACUCCGGGAGUCAGUUGCUGGGGGAUAAACUUCAGCGUCGAAAGGGAAACAGCCCAGACCGCCAGCUAAGGUCCCUAAGUACUAGCUAAGUGGGAAACGAUGUUCGAGUGCAUAGACAACCAGGAGGUUGGCUUAGAGGCAGCCAUCCUUGAAAGAGUGCGUAACAGCUCACUGGUCAAGUGUUCGAGCGCGGACAAUGUAACGGGGCUCAAGCUAGUCACCGAAGCUGCGGGUGCGUGAGACCUUCGGGUCGAUCGCGCGGUAGGAGAGCGUUCCCAUGCCAGUAAAGCGGCGGCGUAAGCCAGCCGUGGAGGCAUGGGAAGUGAGAAUGCCGGCAUGAGUAACGAAAGAGGGGUGAGAAUCCCCUCCACCGAUUGCCCAAGGAUUCCUGAGUAAAGUUCGUCUGCUCAGGGUUAGUCGGGACCUAAGGCGAGGCCGAAAGGCGUAGUCGAUGGCCAACAGGUUGAUAUUCCUGUACCACGUCGCUUCCGUUUGACCGAUGGGGGGACGAGGAAGGCUAGGGAAACCCAGGCGAUGGUAGUCCUGGGGUAAGCAUGUAGGGGUGGCCCUUGUCAAAUGCGGGGCCGCAUAACCUGAGGUGCGAUGCCAGCUGGCGUUUAGCCGGCGAGUUCCUGACGCCAUACCUCCAAGAAAAUCCUCUAGGGAGGAAGCGCGUGCCCGUACCAAAACCGACACAGGUGGGCAAGUAGAGAAUACUAAGGUGAUCGAGAUAACCCUCGUUAAGGAACUCGGCAAAAUCGCCCCGUAACUUCGGGAUAAGGGGCGCCCCAGUAGGGUGAAGCUCUUCGCGAGUGGAGCCCGAGGGGGCCGCAGUGAAUUGGCUGAAGCGACUGUUUACCAAAAACACAGGUCUCUGCUAAGUCGAAAGACGACGUAUAGGGGCUGACGCCUGCCCGGUGCCGGAAGGUUACGUGGAGUUGUUAGGACUUCGGUUCGAAGCAGCGAAGCUAAGCCCCGGUAAACGGCGGCCGUAACUAUCAGUUGACCGAGGUAGUUGUAAAACUCGGCUAUAUGCUGGAACAUCCGAGUAUCCCGCACUACGAGUACCGUCCCAAGUGGGCGAUACCGUGAAAAUGUGCCGGGUGCGGACAAUCAGCAGGAAAGGCCGUGCAUAGAGGCCAUAGAGGUCUCGCUCGGUAGUUUCUUGUCUGGGUUCGCGCUGGGUGAGGGAAGCUUCAUGUUGGUCUGUCGCAAGCGCGGCAGCUCGGCACGACGCUUCCGGAUCUCGGCAGCCUUCAACGUCUCGCAGCAGGAUCGCGUUCCCCUGGAACUCUUUCGAGAGACCCUUCGGUGUGGGAGCCUGCGACGGGCGGGAAACGGCGGUUGGUAUUGGGAGGUCAACAGACUUUCCGAUCUGACUGACCGGAUCGUGCCGUUCUUGGAUCGGUUUCCGAUCGUGGGACUGAAGGCAGAGGACUACCGGUUGUGGAGGGGCGCAGUUUCGGCUCCUUGCGUCCGGCGGUCUGAGCGACCGAGAUUACGUCAAGGUUCUUGCUCUCCGGAAACGGAUGAACCGAGGCGGGAAGAGAAGCCACCGAAUGGACGGAAUCCUCAGAGACUAUACGCCGAGCCCACUGAUCUAGAGCGAUUGUGGGAUGAGAUAGUCCGCUCUCAUGGGCGACCAUGAGAGUCCGUCAGAAAUGAGCGGACCGCCCAGGCGAGGUGCCUGGGUAGUAACAGUCAGGAACGGUCCUAAGGUAGCGAAAUUCCUUGUCGGGUAAGUUCCGACCUGCACGAAUGGCGUAACGACUUCAGCGCUGUCUCAACGAGGGGCUCGGUGAAAUUGCAGUCUCGGUGAAGAUGCCGAGUACCCGCGGCUAGACGGAAAGACCCCGUGAACCUUUACUACAACCUGG
rnacentral:rRNA from 1 species